GGGUGGAUGGUGUAAAUGGUAACACGCGUGCAAGUAUGUCUGGUACGAGCUAUGAGGUUCGAGUCCCGUUCUGCCCA